UCUGUGGAUCGACCAAGAGUAAAGAACCAAGAAGAAACCCUUGUUUCCAGAAAUUCACAAGAUUAGAAGGGAAUUAAGAGCCAAAACUAAUGCAUGAACUCAAAUCUCUAACCAUCUAAGCUUGUCCAACAAGUGGUGUAAAGGAAGAAAGUUUAAGUCACGCGAAGCAACAAGGGAAUCAAUAACGAGGUAAAACUCAAGUCUAAAUGGUCAUGCUUUGCUCGGAUUGAACACACUUCGAAUGCCUUCCAUGCGCUUCCGAAACUUUUGUAACGAUGUUAAUGGGUCAAAAUACUUUUGUUGUAACUAGCUUAUGUUUAGUAGUUAGACCUAAAACCUUAAUAUGUUAUGUCUUGUAAAUUCUAGUUGGUGGUAAAUGUUUAAAACACAAUGGUUUUUG